rnacentral:tRNA from 1 species
AAGAAGACCUUAGCCGGAGCUGCUAACUCACGACCCCUGGAAUUAACCUUCC